rnacentral:rRNA from 1 species
AAUGGAUGGAAAUCUGAUCCAGCCAUGCCGCGUGCAGGAAGACUGCCCUAUGGGUUGUAAACUGCUUUUGUAUGGGAGCAAUAAGCCCUUCGUGAAGGGUGAUGAGAGUACCAUACGAAUAAGCAUCGGCUAACUCCGUGUCAGCAGCCGCGGUAAUACGGAGGAUGCAANCGUUAUCCGGAUUUAUUGGGUUUAAAGGGUGCGUAGGCGGUUGGAUAAGUCAGCGGUGAAAGUUUCCUGCUUAACAGGAAAAAUGCCGUUGAAACUGUCGGACUUGAGUGUAAAUGAGGUAGGCGGAAUGCGUGGUGUAGCGGUGAAAUGCGUAGAUAUCACGCAGAACUCCGAUUGCGAAGGCAGCUUACUAAGCUACAACUGACACUGAAGCACGAAAGCGUGGGGAUCAAA